CCUCAAGCAAUCUGCCCACCUCGGCCUCUCAAAGUGCUGAGAUUACAGAUGUGAGCCACUGCGCCUGGCUCUGUGCUAAGAUUAUAAAAUUAUUAAUACAUAUUUCCUUCUAGUACAUUUAGGCUAUCAUACCUUUCCUCCUUUCUCUGCCCUCCAUCAGAACUCACCAUCUGCUACCCACUCCCCUCUGCUUCCUACUAGACUGAUAAAUUAAAGCUGAUAAACUGAGAUAUGAUAAUAUCAGGCCACGGAGUAUGCUGUUCUGAUAUUUUAAUAGUGAAUUAUUGGAGAAGCUAGUGUUAUCCCACAGAAGUAUCUCUCUAACGGUGACAUUUUGAGUGCUGAAACAGGAACGUGAGGGAAAUGAUUUGGAGGCAGCAGAUUCAGGGAGGUGGGGUGGUGUAAUGGAAAGUGUAUCAAGUUUAAAGAUGAACAAAUCUGCAUUUUGAGUCCCCACACUAGCUGUGUGAUGUUGACAAUUUAUGUCCCCUCCUAAGACCCCCUUUCUUUAUCCAUAAAAUAAGAAGACUACCAUGUGUUCUUUAUGAUUGUCACCUGUUUGCCAUGUGUGUCCUUCCUUUCUGGUCUCAUUCACUGGGGCACCCCUAGCAUCUAGCACAGCACCUGGCAGAUAGUAGGUGCUCAGUAAAUGUUUAUAAUCUGAAUUAAUGGAUACGUGAGAAAGUAGCUGGCAAACAGUAAGUCCUGUGUAUAAUGGUUCCCGUGCUUACCUUCCCUCUCAGAAUCCUCCCAGAUCAGGCCUAGCCUUCAGCUACCUCUCAUGAAAGGAAGCUCUUAAAUUUCUACUCCCUCCGACAUCAAAUAGUAAGGGACUGCCUUCUGCUUCCUGAUUAAGAUGUUGAGGUAGCCAAGAAUCCCUGUACUAAGGAGGAUCUGGAGGCAAAGGGGGACUUCACUCUGUUUCCCUUGGUGGAGCAGGUCAUGCUGUCCAGGAGGUGCCAGUCUUCUCUAAGAGCAACACACAAUACCCACAUGCUGGCUUAGAAACCAGGAACCCUGGAGUCCACACCCUUCCCACUUCCCUGGCAGACAGCAAACCUCCAAUUUGGGAGAUUCCGAUUUGGGUUCUGGCUCUUUCGCUUAUUUACCCUGCAACCUUAGAAAAUGAGCUUUCAGGCCAGGCACGGUGGC
rnacentral:lncRNA from 1 species